UUCCUUGUCGUCUUCUCCAUUUACCUCGACAAACAAUACGCGUAGUGCUGUUCCAGCGCCGAUUCCAGCUGCAAAUUUGUCCUUGUGGCCUCAAGAUCGAGCCACGUAGCAUUCAAAGGACGAUAGGUCGAUCUUAGCCCUCCUUCUCGCCUUCAAUCCGUUGAAAUUUCAAGAAUCAUUGGGAAUAUGCUCUGGUUCUGGAGAGAAUUUCGUUUGAAAUUCAAAUUUUGGCCCCUUUUCUAGCCCGAUUUUACUCUCAUCGUUUUCCCCCUCAAAUUGGACCCACAAGCUUUCCUAUAAAUACCCUUCUUUGCUCACUGUUCAGAGGACGAUUUUUUGAGACCUGAGAGUACCCUAAAAUGUUUGGGAAAUCUUGGUUCAAUAGUUUAAUUUGUUGUGGUUGUUUGAGUUGAAAGAGGUGGAAUCGUCUCCAUCAAACUCGUCCGUCCAGUUCGCUGCCCCGAGCCAGUUUGAAAAUGGCACCAGCUGAAGCGGAGUUGCAGCUGCCUCUAAAAGGCAGAAAAACGAGGAGUAAAAUUGGGUCAAAACCCCGACAGACCCGCAGCAGUAGCAGCAGUCCCAAAGGGGCUAAAAUUGGAAAUUUUUGGACUUUAAAAAGUUCAAUCUGGGCAGCAGUAAAUGAGAAGCAGCAAGCUGACUUAAAGUUGUCCAAAUUCUAUUUGCACUUUUGUUUCCCUUAUAUCGUGAUUUUUUGAUACUUGCUCUUAAUUUCUAAUAUUUGUUUUAUCAAUUUAGAUGAAUCCUUGGGGUGAUAUGUUUAUUUAAGUUCUCAAAUUUCGAAA